AGAGUUUGAUCCUGGCUCAGGACGAACGCUGGCGGCGCGCCUAACACAUGCAAGUCGAACGAGCGAGAGAGAGCUUGCUUUCUCGAGCGAGUGGCGAACGGGUGAGUAACGCGUGAGGAACCUGCCUCAAAGAGGGGGACAACAGUUGGAAACGACUGCUAAUACCGCAUAAGCCCACAGCUCGGCAUCGAGCAGAGGGAAAAGGAGCAAUCCGCUUUGAGAUGGCCUCGCGUCCGAUUAGCUAGUUGGUGAGGUAACGGCCCACCAAGGCGACGAUCGGUAGCCGGACUGAGAGGUUGAACGGCCACAUUGGGACUGAGACACGGCCCAGACUCCUACGGGAGGCAGCAGUGGGGAAUAUUGCACAAUGGGGGAAACCCUGAUGCAGCGACGCCGCGUGGAGGAAGAAGGUCUUCGGAUUGUAAACUCCUGUUGUUGGGGAAGAUAAUGACGGUACCCAACAAGGAAGUGACGGCUAACUACGUGCCAGCAGCCGCGGUAAAACGUAGGUCACAAGCGUUGUCCGGAAUUACUGGGUGUAAAGGGAGCGCAGGCGGGAAGACAAGUUGGAAGUGAAAUCUAUGGGCUCAACCCAUAAACUGCUUUCAAAACUGUUUUUCUUGAGUAGUGCAGAGGUAGGCGGAAUUCCCGGUGUAGCGGUGGAAUGCGUAGAUAUCGGGAGGAACACCAGUGGCGAAGGCGGCCUACUGGGCACCAACUGACGCUGAGGCUCGAAAGUGUGGGUAGCAAACAGGAUUAGAUACCCUGGUAGUCCACACCGUAAACGAUGAUUACUAGGUGUUGGAGGAUUGACCCCUUCAGUGCCGCAGUUAACACAAUAAGUAAUCCACCUGGGGAGUACGACCGCAAGGUUGAAACUCAAAGGAAUUGACGGGGGCCCGCACAAGCAGUGGAGUAUGUGGUUUAAUUCGACGCAACGCGAAGAACCUUACCAAGUCUUGACAUCCCUUGACAGGCAUAGAAAUAUGUUUUCUCUUCGGAGCAAGGAGACAGGUGGUGCAUGGUUGUCGUCAGCUCGUGUCGUGAGAUGUUGGGUUAAGUCCCGCAACGAGCGCAACCCUUAUGGUCAGUUACUACGCAAGAGGACUCUGGCCAGACUGCCGUUGACAAAACGGAGGAAGGUGGGGAUGACGUCAAAUCAUCAUGCCCUUUAUGACUUGGGCUACACACGUACUACAAUGGCGUUAAACAAAGAGAAGCAAGACCGCGAGGUGGAGCAAAACUCAGAAACAACGUCCCAGUUCGGACUGCAGGCUGCAACUCGCCUGCACGAAGUCGGAAUUGCUAGUAAUCGUGGAUCAGCAUGCCACGGUGAAUACGUUCCCGGGCCUUGCACACACCGCCCGUC
rnacentral:rRNA from 1 species